rnacentral:tRNA from 1 species
GGGCGAUUAGCUCAGUUGGUUAGAGUGUCUCGCUUACACCGAGAAGGUCGCUGGUUCGAAUCCAGCAUCGCCCACCA